GGGGAUGUAGCUCAGUGGUAGAGCGCUUGCCUAGCAAGCGCAAGGCCCUGGGUUCGGUCCCCAGCUCUG
rfam:Rattus norvegicus chromosome 12, whole genome shotgun sequence.